UUAAUUUGACUCGACAUGGAAAACUUAUCAGGUCUCGACAUAGCAAGGAUUGACAGACUUAGAGCUCUUUCUUGGUUCUAAGGGUGGUGGUGCAUGACCGUUCUUAGUUGGUAGAGUGAUUUAUCUAGUUAAUUCUGUUAACGAAUGAGACCUCAGCCUGCUAACUAGUUAUACGGAGUCAUCCCUCCGUAGUUAGGGACUAUGACCGUUUAGACCACGGAAGCUUGAGGCAAUAACAGGUAUGUUCAAGUCGGUUUGCUCU
rnacentral:ncRNA from 1 species